rnacentral:lncRNA from 1 species
CCCAGAAGGUUCCUGAGCCUGGCGCCCCCGGGCCGAGGGGACCCUUGCCCACCCCAGUCCCCACCUGUCCGAGUGGCGGCUCCCGCCUCGAUCCUGCUGGGCGCGGGUCGGGGUCCACACCGACUGGCCUCGAGCGUGUGCACGCCGGUGGGGACAAGGGUGAGAGCGAGUGAGGAGGGGCUGGCGCGGCUUCCGGGCUCUGCAGCCCCCCUCGGCUCAGUCCGUGCUCCCUGAAGAUCCGGAACCAACUCCAAAAGUUGGGGCCAAAAAAAUAACUGGAGAAAAGAACAAAAAAUCCAAGUCCUUUGCGUAGGAAUGGCUCUGUGGCUCCAACACCGUGUCCUUUAGCUUGCCCCCGAGUUAACUGUCCUCCGGCUCCUUGCCUUGACUCCUGCAGGGGUGAGGGCUUGUCCCGGGGCUCUUCUCCCACUGACCCGGGAAAAGGAAGCAGACGUCCGCGCACCCAGCUCGCGGCGCUCAGGUUGCCUGCCGACGCCUUCCCGCCUCCCUCCCCGCUGGCCCCGGAGAGCGAGCCUGGUCGCGCCCGGCUCUCGUCCUUGGGGGUGCAGCAACCCGACCCUCCACCCGGGGAGGAUGCGGGGAAAGCCCCGGGUUCCAGCCGAGGCCGGCGCGGCGGGGGUCUGGCGGGGAGGUAUGGGAGGGAAAACUUUAGUCCGGAAAGGGCGCGGGCGGGGCAGGGGACACUCAGAAGCCUGGGAGUGGAGAGGGAAAGAGGGGCGAGAGCCGGUGUGUCUCCCCCUACCCUGCCCCACCUCCUUCCUCAGUCCAGAUCGCCUGCGAGUGAGGUGGGGGGGAGCGGUCACUGCAGCACCGAGGCCUUCCCGGGCCCCCAUCCCUGUCCGCUUGCUCCUGCAGAAGCCGGGGUGGGGGACGAGUGUGCGGCCGCGCGCGUGCGUGUUUGCACGUGAUUCUGUGUGUGAGAGACUUCAGUGUAGACGCCGCUGGGGAGGACCCGUGUCAUGGGGCCAGAAAGAACUUAAUGGAUGCUCAUGUGGGAAGGCUUAGAGGAGAAGACCCAGGCCCCGGACUGCGGUCAGUGUCAGAGAGAGGAUCCGCAAGAAGGACCGAGGCUGGAGAGGACUAGAGAGAAGACUGCUG